rnacentral:lncRNA from 1 species
CUUGACCUUGUUCUGUGAAUUGUUCCUUUCUCAGGAUCAUAGAAUCACUAACUGAAAAAACAGAGACUUGGAAGUUGAAGUAAAAAACAAAUGUCAGCUUUCACCUUUCACAUAGCAUUCACUCCCCUGGUGGUAGUCAGAGGAGAACACUGUUGAGAGCUCCUGGGACAGAAGCCAGGAAUGCAGCCCUGGAGAUCCUGGUGGGGGAAGAAAGGCUGACAACCAGAAUCAGCUCUCUGCUGUGCAGUCAGGGGGAGAGGUUCCAGUACCCCAGCUUUCCCUUUUCCCACUCCACGGCUCAGAAACUCAGGUUGUCAGAAGGAGAGGAGCCAAUGCGAAGAACUCAGAGAGCAGUGCACCAUUUCUUCCUCUUCCCAGAUAUACGCGAGGUGACUGAAAAGUACCAUGAAUGUUUCCAUUUUCUAAAAUUUAUUACAGUGAAAAGACACAUU